CAGCCGCCGCGGUAAGACAGAGGAUGCAAGCGUUAUCCGGAAUGAUUGGGCGUAAAGUGUCUAUAGGUGGCUUUUCAAGUCCGCCGUCAAAUCCCAGGGCUCAACCGUGGACAGGCGGUGGAAACUACCAAGCUGGAGUACGGUAGGGGCAGAGGGAAUUUCCGGUGUAGCGGUGAAAUGCGUAGAGAUCUGGAGGAAUACCGGUGGCGAAGGCGGCCCCCUGGACGAAGACUGACGCUCAGGUGCGAAAGCGUGGGGAGCAAACAGGAUUAGAUACCCGUGUAGUCCCUGUCUCUUAUAC
rnacentral:rRNA from 1 species